UCCUCAGAGGCUGACGGCAGGCUGAAAGCUCCCGGGGACUGUCAAGAGUAUUUCAUUAUUCAAACAAUGCUGGAAAGUGGAGCCAAUGAUCACUUUAGUGGUGCUGAUUUGUCAUGGUGACUAGACGAGGGAGGGAGACUUCACAGCGCACAGGCUUUCCAGAGCACAAAGAGGAAGCGAUGUCACUUACUGAAUUCGAGGGCAUCGGGACAUUGGUUUCAAUGUAAGUCUCUGUCUUGGGCUCCACAGCAAGCUCCGCCUCCAGGAUCUUCUCCACAGGCAUGUCUUCGUUCGCACUGCUGGUCGACUCCACCUCGUUCUCGUUGCGGUCCUUGGCUCGCUGGCGCUCCUCCUGGACGGCUGGUUUAACAGAUCAGACAUUUGAUCAGCUCAGAGAAACAGGAAGUGGUUAGUGCUGAACAGUCACUCAGUCUGACUGUGGCCAGAGCUGUAUUAACCACAAUCCAAGCCCCUGUGGUUAAGAGUGCGUAUGUGCCGAGCACAGUUCAUCCAAAAGACUCCAAACCCAGUCCCUAUUCACAGCCCAUUCAAACACACAAACACUAAACGCUCUCUUUUCCCCUAACCCUUCAACUAUUUCCCUCAACAGUGAAUCACAGAGACAUCACAGUGGUGGAGGGGUUCCGAAACGGGGGGAUUCUGCUUUACGGAAAGAGCUGUCUGGAGGUCAGCCCAAGGGUAAAAUACUUCUCCAGGAGUCAGAGAGAGAUUCGCUCAGCUCUUUUUGGGAUGAGCGUGGCCCAGCUCUCCUGCACCUCGGGGUACAGAGCGAGCUUAUGGGAUACAGAAACAGGCGAACGCAAGCAAAUGAUCAUAUCCUUGAAAGAAGCCGUGAUGAUAUAAAUAAGGCAGACGAAAGGUUGCUCUAAGGUCAUAGACAGUGGGUGUGAGAGCGAACGUCAUGUAUGUAUGAUCACAGUGCUCCCUCUUCGUCUACAGGGGAAGGAUUUACUCUCUCACAUGAAACAAGUGCUAGAGACCUGGGAAAGGGACUGGAUGUUGGCUAUGCAAUAUACAGCCAUAAUAAAUUAUUUAUGAGGCCAAA